AUUGAACGCUGGCGGCAGGCCUAACACAUGCAAGUCGAGCGAGCGGCGGACGGGAGAGUAAUGUAUGGGGCUCUGCCCGAUAGAGGGGGAUAACUACUGGAAACGGUGGCUAAUACCGCAUACUAUCGGCUGAACCCAUAUGGGAUGAGCUAGUAGGUGGGGUAAAGGCUCACCUAGGUGACGAUCUCUACCUGGUCUGAGAGGAUGAACAGCCACACUGGAACUGAGACACGGCCCAGACUCCUACGGGAGGCAGCAGUGGGGAAUAUUGCACAAUGGGCGCAAGCCUGAUGCAGCCAUGCCGCGUGUAUGAAGAAGGCCUUAGGGUUGUAAAGUACUUUCAGCGGGGAGGCGUUACCCACAGAAGAAGCACCGGCUAACUCCGUGCCAGCAGCCGCGGUAAUUC
rnacentral:rRNA from 1 species